AACCCGACUCCAUGAAGCUGGAUUCGCUAGUAAUCGCGCAUCAGCCACGGCGCGGUGAAUACGUUCCCGGGCCUUGUACACACCGCCCGUCACACCAUGAGAGUUGGCAAUACCCAACGUACGUGAUCUAACCCGCAAGGGAGGAAGCGUCCUAAGGUAGGGUCAGCGAUUGGGGUGAAGUCGUAACAAGGUACC
rnacentral:rRNA from 1 species